rnacentral:rRNA from 1 species
GAAGUAGGCGGCCACAUAAGUGGGGCGUGAAAUCCUUCGGCUCAACCGAAGACCUGCGCUCCAAACUGUGUGGCUUGAGUCCGGGAGGGGAGACGGGAAUUCCUGGUGUAGCGGUGAAAUGCGCAGAUAUCAGGAAGAACACCGGCGGCGAAGGCGCGUCUCUGGACCGGUACUGACGCUAAAUUCCGAAAGCGUGGGGAGCAAACA